CACCGGCAGCUCAAGUGGUAGCCGCUUUUAUUGGGCCUAAAGCGUCCGUAGCCGGUCUGAUAAGUCUCUGGUGAAAUCCCACAGCUUAACUGUGGGAAUUGCUGGAGAUACUAUCAUGACUCGAGGUCGGGAGAGGCUGGAGGUACUCCCAGGGUAGGGGUGAAAUCCUGUAAUCCUGGGAGGACCACCUGUGGCGAAGGCGUCCAGCUGGAACGAACCUGACGUUGAGGGACGAAGGCUCAGAGAGUGA
rnacentral:rRNA from 1 species